rnacentral:autocatalytically_spliced_intron from 1 species
AUUGCCAAGAAAAUUAUUUUCUUGGCUCCUCAGUAAAGUCUAUAAAUACCCGUAGAGACUAAACAUCAGAUGUCUUAACUCGAAAGAGAAAGACAAAGUCAUAGUCCGAUGCGUUUAGCAAUAAACGA